AGUGAACGCUGGCGGUAGGCCUAACACAUGCAAGUCGAACGGCAGCACAGUAAGAGCUUGCUCUUACGGGUGGCGAGUGGCGGACGGGUGAGGAAUACAUCGGAAUCUACUUUUUCGUGGGGGAUAACGUAGGGAAACUUACGCUAAUACCGCAUACGACCUACGGGUGAAAGCAGGGGAUCUUCGGACCUUGCGCGAUUGAAUGAGCCGAUGUCGGAUUAGCUAGUUGGCGGGGUAAAGGCCCACCAAGGCGACGAUCCGUAGCUGGUCUGAGAGGAUGAUCAGCCACACUGGAACUGAGACACGGUCCAGACUCCUACGGGAGGCAGCAGUGGGGAAUAUUGGACAGUGGGCGCAAGCCUGAUCCAGCCAUACCGCGUGGGUGAAGAAGGCCUUCGGGUUGUAAAGCCCUUUUGUUGGGAAAGAAAAGCAGCAGGUUAAUACCCCGCUGUGCUGACGGUACCCAAAGAAUAAGCACCGGCUAACUUCGU
rnacentral:rRNA from 1 species